GAUGAACGCUAGCGGGAGGCUUAACACAUGCAAGUCGAAGGGCAGCACGUCUUCGGAUGGUGGCGACUGGCGAACGGGUGCGUAACGCGUAUGCAAUCUACCCUCAACAGGGGAAUAGCCCAGAGAAAUUUGGAUUAAUACCCCAUAGUAUUACAGAUUCGCAUGUUUCUGUGAUUAAAGUUCCAACGGUUGAGGAUGGGCAUGCGUGACAUUAGCUUGUUGGUGAGGUAACGGCUCACCAAGGCAACGAUGUCUAGGGGUUCUGAGAGGAUGAUCCCCCACACUGGUACUGAGACACGGACCAGACUCCUACGGGAGGCAGCAGUGAGGAAUAUUGGACAAUGGGCGCAAGCCUGAUCCAGCCAUGCCGCGUGCAGGAUGACGGUCCUAUGGAUUGUAACCUGCUUUUG
rnacentral:rRNA from 1 species